GCCCAGGAUAGAAGGGAAUUCACGGUCCACCCGGGCUGCAGGCCCCUUUCAGCAGGACUGCUCUCUGGUCACACAGACCCUACCCAGUACUGGGCUCUCUGGUUCUGUUGUCCCUUUGUUAAACUUCAUACAAUUCUUGCUUGCCCACUCUUCUAGCCUGUCCAGUUCUCUCUGUGAGGUGGCUUUCCCUUCUGACAUGUCCACUUCACCACCCAUUCUAGUGUCAUCAGUAAAUUUGGUGAAAAUACUUUCGAUCUAAUCAUCCAGACCAUAUACGAAGACACUGAAAAGCAUGGGGCCCAGGAUCGAUACUUGAGGGUCCAUAUUUGUGACAAGCUGCCAGUCUGAGUAAAAACCACUGAGCACCACUUUCUAAGUGUGGCCUGUUACACAAUCUUCUACUCAUUUUGAAGACCACUCAUCCAGUCUCUCUCUUUAGUUUGCCUAGGAAUAGGCUGCAGGAAACAGUGUAAAAUGCCUUGCUGAAAUUCAGGCAAACAACAUGCACUGUUCUCCCUUUGUGAACAGAAAUGGUUUCUUUCUUGCUGAAAGUGAUCAGUUUAGUCAAGCAUGAUUUAUCUUUGGAAAAUCCUUGUUGGCUUUUCUCAAGCAUGAGCUCAGUUUGGUUUGUAAUAGUUUCUAAGAGGAGGCUCACUGAACCACUCUUAUUAAACCAUAACUUUUUUCACACACAGGGUAAAAGCUGACUUACCCAAGGUUUGUAGAGUUUACUGAUUCAUAGCUUUAAGUAAAAAAAUACACAGUUCGCUAAAAUGUUUAUUUUUAAUUUGUAUUGCAUUAAACAAAAAUAUGCGUGCAUUUAUUUUAACUGGCGUGUUUAUUUGAUCAAUGGAUUUUUCUGGGUCAUUAAUUUAUGGAGACUCCCAUGACGCGUGAGCACUUACGUUAACUGGCUUAACCUUUGCAUGGUCUUUGUGGUCAUAAAGUAUUAAACUUUUUUAGCAAAGUCUUUCUUUGGAAUUGUCAGAAAUGAUUUAUGUAUUCUGCCCUUUAUAUAUCUGCUUUUAAAAUUUACCAGACAAAUACCAGCUAUGAAGAUUUGUGUGUCUGGUACUUCAGUACUUCUUCAUAUAAGAUAAGCACGACUGAAUAUGUCUGUCUUCAGACCCCUGCCAUGGAUCUCAGCUGCAUUUAUGCAAUCUGUCAUCAAACUGGUAUGCAUGUUCAACAAAACACUGAAGGCAUUUUGACAUCUACAUGCUUCAUAUAAGUAACUAGAACUUGUAAGACUAGAGGAGGGUACUAGACUGUGGGACGACCCUGUAGCUGACCACCAUCCAAGCAUCUUGGACAGAGCUGCAGGGGUGCAAAGCGACAGAGCACCCACUGGGAGUAGGACAGAUGGGCAUCCACAAAUGCUCACAACAAAAGGUCGAGGUUAGGUAAGUGGAAAGAUAUAAAGCCAUACAUAUUACUAUCAUCUUUUUCUCUACAUACGUUUUUAAACCAUAACACUUUGUUUGAAAGAUGCUGUUUGUAAGACACUAACAGUUAACAGUAAUACUGAUUCCCAAAGGAAGUUGUUCUGAUCUCCCAAAUUCAGAUAAGCUUUCCAUGUCAAAAUGGCUCCAAAACUGCUCAACAUUUCAUCAUAAUAAUUGUCCUUUUCCAAUGCAAAUAACUAUGUUGUCAUCCAUGGCUUCAUCUCACUGAUGAGACGGACUCAAGUAUAGGAUAAACAGGUACAAACAUCAUAGAUCCAGAAUCUUGAACUUAGUCCCCUUUUUCUGCCUAUAAAUCAGAGGAAGAAUUUUUCCAACCAGUCGUGGUCUGCAAAGGUAAGAUAUGUUAUGGAGCAUCAGUUAUUCAGAACCACAAUAACAAUAGUCAUUUAAGAUAAGAAGAAAGAGAAGAAAAGGAAUUGGAACAAAUAUUUUUACUACCAAGAGUACAGUGCUCUGGCAAAAAAAUUUGUGUGAUAA
rnacentral:lncRNA from 1 species